UCACCUUAGCCUUGGCGACGGCCUCCAUGUUGCUAGAGAGGUCAUCAAUCUCCAUCUUGUACUCGCUCUUCUCCUUCUCCAGCUUCUGCUUGACGCGCUGCAGGUUGUCGAUCUGCUCCCCGAGCUCAGCCACACUGUCGGCCUGCUUCUUGCGCAGAGCGGCGGCUGUGGCCUCAUGCUGCAGGGUGGACUCU